rnacentral:rRNA from 1 species
AUGUGAUCGUCUCUCGCAUAUCAAUAAGCGGAGGAAAAAAGAAACUAACAAGGAUUCCCCUAGUAACGGCGAGUGAAGCGGGAAGAGCUCAAAUUUGAAAUCUUAAAGGGUUUCCCUUUACGAGUUGUAGUUUAAAGAAGUGUUUUCUGUUGAGGUUUUGGUAAAAGUUCUUUGGAAUAGGACAUCAUAGAGGGUGAGAAUCCCGUAUUUGACCUUUACUUUCAACUUUGUGAUACACUUUCAAAGAGUCGGAUUGUUUGGGAAUGCAGUCCAAAAUGGGUGGUAAAUUUCAUCUAAAGCUAAAUAUUGGCGAGAGACCGAUAGCGAACAAGUACCGUGAGGGAAAGAUGAAAAGAACUUUGAAAAGAGAGUUAAACAGUACGUGAAAUUGUCAAAAGGGAAGCGUUUGACACCAGUGUUGUUUUUCUGAAAAUCAAUUAAAGAACUGUUUAUGCUAAGCUGUUUAGACUUUAUCAGCUAACUGUUUAGUUUUGAGCUUUUCUUUAAUGCACUUUUCAGUUAACAAGUCAACAUCAAUUUCUUUUGCUGUAAAAAAGCUUGAGGAAGGUGGCUUGAGAUUCGUCUUAAGUGUUUAUAGCCUCUUGCCUAUGCAGUCGGAGAGAUUGAGGUCUGCAGCGUAGAUCCUUCGGGGCUAAAUGCAUUUGUGCUAAGUUAUAGCAUUUUAUAGACAACUUGUUGACUAUGAUUUGUCUUGUAGCUUACUCGCUUAUGUUAUUUUACCUACGCUUAGGAUGUUGAGUAGCGACAUACGCAC